rnacentral:rRNA from 1 species
GAUGAACGCUAGCUACAGGCUUAACACAUGCAAGUCGAGGGACCGGCGCACGGGUGAGUAACACGUAUCCAACCUGCCCUUUACUCGGGGAUAGCCUUUCGAAAGAAAGAUUAAUACCCGAUAUAAAGGAUGGGGAUGCGUUCCAUUAGGUUGUUGGUGAGGUAACGGCUCACCAAGCCUUCGAUGGAUAGGGGUUCUGAGAGGAAGGUCCCCCACAUUGGAACUGAGACCCAGUCCAAAAUCCUACGGAGGGCAGCAGUAAGGAAUAUUAGUGAAUGGGCGCUAGCCUGAACCAGCCAAGUAGCGUGAAGGAUGAAGGCUUUUGAGUCGUAAACUACUUUUAUAUAAGAAUAUGUAUUAUAUGAAUAAGGAUCGGCUAACUCCGUGCCAGCAGCCGCGGUAAUUC